rnacentral:lncRNA from 1 species
GGGAACAGCGGGGACUGUCUGGGGGCACACCGGCAGAACCGGGCGCAGCCCGCAGGCCACGAGGGUCAGGCACACCCGGAAAACAUCGGUCGCCGCAGCAGUGGCACCGGGCACGCCAACACCAGGCACGGCGGGUGUCACCGAGCACCGGCAAGGCGAGGCACCGCCGGUACACCGCAUCGCCCCUGGCCUCCCGCAGGCACCGGGCUCUGUAGUGCUUUCCGAGCGUCCCUUCCUAGGAAUCCCUUCCCAGGACAGCUCUGUUUUAGUGAGGGAAAUGGGAGAUGUCCCGCAGGAGCUGUAGCUGGGGCUGUGCCAGAGGAACGAUUGCCGGCCCCGGUGUCGUGUCGCGGUGACACAGCCUCUGUCCGUGCUCCGCAGGUGCGGCGGGGCGGAGCCGGCCCGUGGGCGUCCCGCGGGCGACGGACUGCUGCUCAAGGUUCUGCGCCGGAGAUUUGCAACUACAGGCUGAGCACUUUCUCCAUGGCUCAGAGCACAGCUGUGCCGUGCUGUCAGCAGUGAGUCUGUCCACACAAGAGAGGAGCUACCCAGGUCAUUUAACUUCCAAACUGCAUUGGAGUCCUGAUCCAAUUUAGGGAAUGUUAGCCCGUGUCUGGUAGUGGGAUUGUGGCACAGGUGGAACAUGCCUGAUUAUACCUGAAUUACUUAGCAAGAAAUAAUGCUGCACUUGAUUCUAACCAAGAAUUUUAGAAAUAAGGACAGUUUUCAAAUUCUGCUUUUCACACCAAUUGAACAUUCAAUAAAGGCAAUUGCCCUUUAAAGUUUUUUUCA